UGAUCUCCAUAAAUAUGAAGGGGAAAGGUGGAAAUAUGCUUUAAGAGCACUAAUUUAUAUGGUGUAGUGAAAGUUCAUGUAAUUUUUUCAAAAUCGAAUAUGCCGAAAGGAGCUGUUUGGAAUGAAGAUUUACAAGAAGAAGUAAUUCCAUCUAAUUGAAUUAGUGAUAAAAUUGUUUGUCGGCUUCCAGGUACCAAAGCAUUGACUGCACUAAAAUGCAGAGAAGAAUUGUCUUAAGUUUAUACAAAUAAAAACUAAAUUCUCUUCAGAGUAUUUUCGAAAAGUUAUAUGGUCUCUAUGGAUAUGAAGGGCAAAGGUGGAAAAAUAUGUUUUAAGAACACUAAUCUAUAUGGCGUUGAAAAAGAUGUGCCUUCAUAAGAUGUAACAUUUUUCCAUUCAUUAUUUAUUUUUUAAAUCUUCCCUUUUUGAUUUUUUUAAUAUAUUUUUUUUAUUUACAGCUUCUUUUAUUGUAUUCAAUGGACCAAAAGAACCCUC
rnacentral:lncRNA from 1 species